rnacentral:rRNA from 1 species
GAACUGAAGAGUUUGAUCCUGGCUCAGAUUGAACGCUGGCGGAAUGCUUUACACAUGCAAGUCGAACGGCAGCACGGACUUCGG